CACGGGGGGAGCAAGCGUUGUUCGGAAUCACUGGGCGUAAAGGGCGCGUAGGCGGCCUGGCAAGUGAAAGGUGAAAUCCCUCGGCUUAACCGAGGAACUGCCUUUCAGACUGCUUGGCUUGAGACCGGGAGAGGUGAGUGGAAUUCCCAGUGUAGCGGUGAAAUGCGUAGAUAUUGGGAGGAACACCAGUGGCGAAGGCGGCUCACUGGACCGGUACUGACGCUGAGGCGCGAAAGCGUGGGGAGCAAACGGG
rnacentral:rRNA from 1 species